rnacentral:rRNA from 1 species
UAAUACGUAGGGUGCGAGCGUUAAUCGGAAUUACUGGGCGUAAAGGGUGUGUAGGCGGUUCGGAAAGAAGGAUGUGAAAUUCCAGGGCUUAACCUUGGGACGGCAUUUUUAACUACCGGGCUAGAGUGUGUCAGAGGGAGGUGGAAUUCCGCGUGUAGCAGUGAAAUGCGUAGAGAUGCGGAGGAACACCGAUGGCGAAGGCAGCCUCCUGGGAUGACACUGACGCUGAGGCACGAAAGCGUGGGGAGCAAACAGG